UGGGGAAUCUUGCGCAAUGCGCGAAAGCGUGACGCAGCAACGCCGCGUGGGGGAAGACGGCCUUCGGGUUGUAAACCCCUUUCAGGAGGGACGAAGGCUCGCCGGUGAAUAGCCGUGCGGGUUGACGGUACCUCCACAAGAAGCUCCGGCUAACUACGUGCCAGCAGCCGCGGUAAUACGUAGGGAGCAAGCGUUGUCCGGAAUCAUUGGGCGUAAAGCGCGCGUAGGUGGCCUCGUAAGUCCGCUGUGAAAGUCAAAGGCUCAACCUUUGAAAGCCGGUGGAUACUGUGAGGCUAGAGUACGGAAGAGGCGAGUGGAAUUCCUGGUGUAGCGGUGGAAUGCGCAGAUAUCAGGAGGAACACCAAUAGCGAAGGCAGCUCGCUGGGACGUUACUGACACUGAGGCGCGAAAGCGUGGGGAGCGAACAGG
rnacentral:rRNA from 1 species